rnacentral:rRNA from 1 species
GACGAACGCUGGCGGCGUGCUUAACACAUGCAAGUCGAACGGAAAGGCCCUGCUUUUGUGGGGUGCUCGAGUGGCGAACGGGUGAGUAACACGUGAGUAACCUGCCCUUGACUUUGGGAUAACUUCAGGAAACUGGGGCUCAUACCGGAUAGGAGCUCCUGCUGCAUGGUGGGGGUUGGAAAGUUUCGGCGGUUGGGGAUGGACUCGCGGCUUACCAGCUUGUUGGUGGGGUAGUGGCUUACCAAGGCUUUGACGGGUAGCCGGCCUGAGAGGGUGACCGGCCACAUUGGGACUGAGAUACGGCCCAGACUCCUACGGGAGGCAGCAGUGGGGAAUAUUGCACAAUGGGCGGAAGCCUGAUGCAGCAACGCCGCGUGCGGGAUGACGGCCUUCGGGUUGUAAACCGCUUUCGCCUGUGACGAAGCGUGAGUGACGGUAAUGGGUAAAGAAGCACCGGCUAACUACGUG